CCUACGGGCCGCACCAGUGGGGAAUCUUGCGCAAUGGGCGAAAGCCUGACGCAGCAACGCCGCGGGGGGGAUGAAGGCUCUCGGGUCGUAAACCCCUUUCAGCAGGGACGAAACUGACGGUACCUGCAGAAGAAGCCCCGGCCAACUACGUGCCAGCAGCCGCGGUAACACGUAGGGGGCAAGCGUUGUCCGGAUUUAUUGGGCGUAAGGAGCUCGUAGGUGGUUCGGUAAGUCAGGUGUGAAACCUCCAGGCUCAACCUGGAGACGCCACUUGAUACUGCUGUGACUGGAGUCCGGUAGGGGAGCGUGGAAUUCCUGGUGUAGCGGUGAAAUGCGCAGAUAUCAGGAGGAACACCAGCGGCGAAGGCGGCGCUCUGGGCCGGUACUGACACUGAGGAGCGAAAGCGUGGGUAGCAAACAGGAUUAGAUACCCCCGUAGUC
rnacentral:rRNA from 1 species